rnacentral:rRNA from 1 species
AGUGAACGCUGGCGGCGUGCUUAACACAUGCAAGUCGAACGUGAACGGGUUAUAGCUUGCUAUAAUUGUCAGCUAAGUGGCGCACGGGUGAGUAAUGUAUAGGUAAUAUGCCUCUUACUAAGGGAUAACAAAUGGAAACGUUUGCUAAUACCUUAUACUCCUUAUUAACAGAAGUUAAUAAGGGAAAGAUUUAUUGGUAAGAGAUUAGCCUGUAUUGUAUCAGUUAGUUGGUGGGGUAAUGGCUUACCAAGACUAUGACACAUAACUGGUUUGAGAGGCUGAUCAGUCACACUGGAACUGAGACACGGUCCAGACUCCUACGGGAGGCAGCAGUGGGGAAUAUUGCACAAUGGACGAAAGUCUGAUGCAGCAACGCCGCGUGGAGGAUGACACAUUUCGGUGCGUAAACUCCUUUUAUAUGAGAAGAUAAUGACGGUAUUAUAUGAAUAAGCACCGGCUAACUCCGUGCCAGCCGCCGCGGUAA